UACGGAGGGGGCUAGCGUUGUUCGGAAUUACUGGGCGUAAAGAGCGCGCAGGCGGCUGGUCAAGUCCGAUGUGAAAGCUCCCGGCUUAACUGGGAAAUUGCAUCGGAAACUGAUCGGCUGGAAGGUGGGAGAGGGUAGCGGAAUUCCCGGUGUAGUGGUGAAAUGCGUAGAUAUCGGGAGGAACACCAGUGGCGAAAGCGGCUACCUGGCCCAUUCUUGACGCUGAGGCGCGAAAGCUAGGGGAGCAAACGGGG
rnacentral:rRNA from 1 species